GAUGAACGCUGGCGGCGUGCCUAAUACAUGCAAGUCGAACGCUGGAAAUCUAGCUUGCUAGAUUGAAGGAGUGGCGAACGGGUGAGUAAUACAUAAGCAACCUACCCACGAAGACUGGGAUAAUCUCUGGAAACGGGGACUAAUACCGGAUAGGUAAUCGGAAGGCAUCUUCUGAUUAUUAAAGGUUAAAAACACUGGUGGAUGGGCUUAUGGCGCAUUAGUUAGUUGGUGAGGUAACGGCCCACCAAGACGAUGAUGCGUAGCCGGCCUGAGAGGGUGAACGGCGACAUUGGGACUGAGACACGGCCCAGACGCCUACGGGAGGCAGCAGUAGGGAAUUGUCGGCAAUGGGGGAAACCCUGACCGAGCAACGCCGCGUGAGUGAUGACGGCCUUCGGGGUGUAAAGCUCUGUUGUAAGGGAAGAACGGUAGAUAGAGAAGAUCUAAAUGACGGUACCUGACCAGAAAGCCACGGCUAACUACGUG
rnacentral:rRNA from 1 species